CUCGUGGUCAGAGGGAAGGGCGUAACGCUGGGUUUAUGGUCCCAGCCCUGCUGAUACCAGGUUCCCAGUUUUGCACAGGUUGGACACAGAUUCAGAGCACUGAACCCAAUCCCCUCUGGCAGAUCCACAAAUGGCUAUAAUAAGAAGCAAAUGGUGAAGCAUGCCUUCAGACAAUCCUGUGAAACUCGGGUGUUUCAGAGACUGGCAUGCCAGCAUAUAGACGGAAAGAUUGAAGGAGGAGGUUCAUCAGCAGAACAGAGUUAUUCCUCUCCUGAGCCUCAUGUGCAGGGCACCAGCCUUCCUGUUUCUGAGUCCUGCACAACUUGCCCUGGGUGAUGGAGUGGAGGGCUGCUAAUGGACAACUUUGUGUGUGUGUGAUUGUAGGAAGGAGAGGAAGAGCA